UAUAAAUAUAUGAAUACAUAUAUUUAUUUAUAACAUGAGUUUUUCUUUAAACUGAAGUCUGAUUUUUGGUAUCAAGCCGAUUCUGAUGCAUAUAUUGCAUCAAGAAUCAUUGGCUACGAAAUUUUUUUUUAAUUCUAAUGACCAUGAGUUUGAAUGUAUUGGCCAUUUUGAACGGAUUCAAAUCAGUGAAUGUUUUUGGCAGUUACGCCCAUGCGAAGAGUCGGCCAACCCCAGAAGAGCGGGAGAUGGCCAUAAGCAGCUAAGGAACAAUCAGUUUCAGACCAGCGGUCAAGAGAAUAAGUUCCGUCGAUUACUGGUGCACUCAAGGAU
rnacentral:lncRNA from 1 species